GGUUGUUUCUAUCUGCAGAAUAUAAAGUACCAUGGCACAGCUGUGGGGUAAUUUAAUACCGACCGCUGGAUCUGCGACUGCUUGGUGGCCAUGGUGUUUGGAAGAUGCUGAUAGUGCAGCAAGCUAAUUGAAGGAAAUCCUUUCAAAUAGAAUACAACAGGACUCUGAAAUCCAGUGAACCACCCGAAGACUAUUUUAUUUUUUAAUCAGAUGUUAACAUUGUAUGGGAGUGCGCUUCGCCUGCGGCUGUUGGUGCCAUUGAAAAUGGACUGGAGCUGUGGCUGAAAUUGGUUUUCAUGCCCUACAAAGUUAUAAUAAACAACAGAAGUGGGAGAAACUGUCAACAGAUACUGAUGUGACAUAGAGAGGGGAAAUACAUAAAAUUAAAUAAAUGCAUUCAAAACCU
rnacentral:lncRNA from 1 species